rnacentral:rRNA from 1 species
GACGGAGGGGGCAAGCGUUGUCCGGAAUUACUGGGCGUAAAGCGCGCGUAGGCGGUCCGAUACGGUGGUGGUGAAAGCCCCGGGCUCAACUCGGGGAGGCCCGCCACGUCGGUCGGACUCGAGGGAGGUAGAGGCUGGUGGAAUUCCUGGUGUAGCGGUGAAAUGCGUAGAGAUCAGGAGGAACACCCGUGGCGAAGGCGGCCAGCUGGGCCUUUCCUGACGCUGAGGUGCGAAAGCCAGGGGAGUGAACGGGAUUAGAUACCCCGGUAAUCCUGGCCGUAAACGAUGGACACUAGGUGUCAGCGGUAUCGACCCCGCCGGCGCCGGAGCUCACGCGGUAAGUGUCCCGCCUGGGGAGUACGGCCGCAAGGUUG